GAUGAACGCUCGCGGCAGGCCUAAUACAUGCAAGUCGAACGGGAUCCAGAUCAAAGCUUGCUUUGGUCUGGUGAGAGUGGCGCACGGGUGCGUAACGCGUGAGCAACCUACCCUUGUCAGGGGGAUAGCCCGGCGAAAGUCGGAUUAAUACCGCAUGACAUCAUUGAGAGGCAUCUUUCGAUGAUCAAAGAUUUAUCGGACAAGGAUGGGCUCGCGUGACAUUAGCUAGUUGGUAAGGUAACGGCUUACCAAGGCUGCGAUGUCUAGGGGCUCUGAGAGGAGAAUCCCCCAAACUGGUACUGAGACACGGACCAGACUCCUACGGGAGGCAGCAGUAAGGAAUAUUGGUCAAUGGACGGAAGUCUGAACCAGCCAUGCCGCGUGCAGGAAGACGGCCCUAUGGGUUGUAAACUGCUUUUAUACGGGAACAAACGUCGGUACGUGUACCGGUCUGAGUGUACCGUAAGAAUAAGGAUCGGCUAACUCCGUG
rnacentral:rRNA from 1 species